AUUGAACGCUGGCGGCAGGCCUAACACAUGCAAGUCGAGCGAGCGGCGGACGGGUGAGUAAUGUAUGGGGACUGCCCGAUAGAGGGGGAUAACUACUGGAAACGGUAGCUAAUACCGCAUACUAUCGGAUAACCUUUAUGGGAUUAGCGAGUUGGUGAGGUAAUGGCUCACCAAGGCGACGUUCCCUAGCUGGUCUGAGAGGAUGAUCAGCCACACUGGGACUGAGAGAGGGACCGUACUCCUAAGGAGGCAGCAGUGGGGAAGAUUGCACAAUGGUCGAAAGCCUGAAGAAGCCAUGCCGAGUGUAUGAAGAAGGCCCUAGGGUAGUAAAGUGCUUUCAGUCGGGAGGCGUUACCGACGGAAGAAGCACCGGCUAACUCCGUGCCAGCAGCCGCGGUAAUAC
rnacentral:rRNA from 1 species